CCAGACUCCUACGGGAGGCAGCAGUGAGGAAUAUUGGUCAAUGGCCGAGAGGCUGAACCAGCCAAGUCGCGUGAGGGAAGACGGCCCUACGGGUUGUAAACCUCUUUUGUCGGGGAGCAAAGCGAACCACGUGUGGUUCAUUGAGAGUACCCGAAGAAAAAGCAUCGGCUAACUCCGUGCCAGCAGCCGCGGUAAUACGGAGGAUGCGAGCGUUAUCCGGAUUUAUUGGGUUUAAAGGGUGCGCAGGCGGAGGUGCAAGUCAGCGGUCAAAUUGCGGGGCUCAACCCCGUACUGCCGUUGAAACUGGCAGACUUGAGUUGGCGAGAAGUACGCGGAAUGCGCGGUGUAGCGGUGAAAUGCAUAGAUAUCGCGCAGAACUCCGAUUGCGAAGGCAGCGUACCGGCGCCAGACUGACGCUGAGGCACGAAAGCGUGGGGAUCGAACAGGAUUAGAUACCCGUGUA
rnacentral:rRNA from 1 species